GUUUAGUUGACGCAAGAAGAUUUUCACUCCAUUGUCCAUUUUUACAGUCUCUCUUUAUUGCCAUAGGAUGCCACCUUAAUGACCUGUACGGAAUCUAGAAGUUGCAUUACACUCAUUUUUCUUUGAAUGCAGAUUUUUUUCUUUUUCAUGGAGUCCUCUCUGAGAAAGGAGAUCAGUAUAUGACUCAUGGCAAUAACUACAUACCACAGCAGAAUAUUCGCCUCUUGCCUAUGAGUUAAAAACAUCCAAGGAACUCACGUGUUUGUAAAACCAUAGCCCAGCUAAGGUUGGCAGCGGCGGAGACGCCUUAGUUGCGAUCCCCUCGUCCUGGCCUCGCUCGCUGCGCCCCACCGGUUCCCUGGGACUCUGGGCAGGGGUGCUGGGACUCUGCGCGUCCCGUGGCCGUGGCUGCGUCCCCCAGAUGCGCGAGUCAGGGAGCCCGCACCCCGGCCUGACUCAUCCUCCCGCGGUGACCGCGCGGCGUCCUCAGCCUGAGCCCCGCGGGGAUGGGGAGUGAGACCGCGGCUGCCCGCGGCUGCCCAGAUUCCGCCUGACGCCCCCGACCCCGCCGCCUCCCACGCUGGUCCCGGGAGGCGCUCGCCGUCGCGACAGCUGCGGGAGCAAAGAACCCCGAGAGGCCACCGAAGCCCCGAGACACGGCGCUCAGGACAGGAACACUUUUCAUGUGAAGAAGUGCCAGGUCACCUGGGCUACGGAAUGGUACUAUAAAGUCACCUUGGCAGGUCAGCAUGCAGAGAGAACUGUCAGCGUGAUUGGGCACUGUGCCUCCAGUCCUUCCUCCUCCAUCUACUAUCCCAAAGACAAAGCCCUUACGGAAAAGCUCGCUGUCUAAAGGAAAAAAAGAAUCUCCCUUGCUCUUCAGCAACCUGAAAAUCACACUGUGUUCUGUUUGAGAUAAAAAGAGGUUUCUGAUCUCGUAACCUAGGGUCUCUCAUUUCAUUUUCUCUUACAAACAUGAGAGUCUGAGCAUUGGCCAUCACAUAAUACUAUACAGUUUCUCGAGUCAUUAUAAGUAAACAGGAAGCAUUUUCAGGUGAGCUUUUAAGGUCUGCCAUUGGCCUUUUGGCUAUGCUUUGAUGUUCAAAGUGGGCAGUUGAGAAAUUAUCCCCCUGUUGAGAAAGAAAAAUCUUAUUUUUCUGAAACCAUGCUGUUAUUCUGAAGGCGAUUAUUUUUGCAUUUAUAAAGGC
rnacentral:lncRNA from 1 species